AGGGUUAUAGUUUAAUUAAAACAUUUGAUUUGCAUUCAAAAAAUAUUUAUAUAAAUUUACCUUA
rnacentral:tRNA from 1 species